AUGAAGGGACCCGGCCUCUUCACCGACAUCGGCAAGAAGGCCAAGGAUCUGCUCACCAGGGACUACACCUACGACCAGAAGCUCUCCGUCUCCACCGUCAGCUCCUCCGGAGUGGCCGUCACUUCCACAGCUGUGAAGAAGGGAGGGCUUUAUUCUCUUGAUGUAGCAUCAGCUUACAAGUAUAAGAAUAAUCUUGUUGAUGUUAAAGUGGACACAGAAUCAAAUAUCUCUACUACCUUGACUGUCUUGGAUGUCCUGCCAUCCACAAAGCUUGUGACGUCUAUCAAAUUUCCUGAUUACAAUGCUGGAAAGGUGGAGGUGCAAUACUUCCACGACCAUGCAACUUUUGCUGCCGCUGUUGGCAUGAAGCCCUCUCCUGUGGUCGAUUUUUCUUUGGUAGUAGGCCCUAAAGGACUUGCCUUCGGUGGGGAGGCUGGGUUUGACACUUCUUCAGGAAAGUUUACCAAGUACACUGGUGGUUUCAGUGUAACCAAGCCUGACUUCCAUGCUUCAGCUAUUCUGGCCGACAAAGGUGACACCAUCAAAGUGUCAGGUGUGUAUCACCUUGAUGAGAAGCAGAAGGCUUCGGCCGUGGCUGAAUUUACCCGGAAGCUCUCAACGAACGAGAACACACUGACAGUUGGUGGCCUGUACACCGUCGACCCUCAGACAGCUGUGAAGGCAAGGCUCAACAACACUGGAAAGCUUGCUGCUCUCCUCCAGCACGAGGUUAAACCAAAGUCACUCUUGACGAUAUCUGGUGAGUUCGACACCAAGGCCUUGGACAGAGCACCCAAGUUUGGGCUGUCACUCGCGCUCAAGCCCUGA
rnacentral:rRNA from 1 species